AUUGGAUCCGAAGAUCACUAAAAAUUGGGUGGAUGAAAUGGUUAGAUGCAAAAUACCAAAGGGGAAACGAGAUGUGGUUCGAUCCCGAUCGGUACCAAAUGAGUUCGUAAUGUAAUUUCCGGUUUCAAAAACCCAAAACUCGUUAAUCUGAGGAUUCACAGUCUCCCUGUUCAACCAUUUCAAGUUACUCAGUGGAAGAAGUUAGAGUGUGCUUGGUAGUGUCGUGAUUUCGUUGAGGGUUAGCGCAAUUAGGAGAUCAGUGAAUGUGUGGAGACUUUGCGGGCAAGUGCGAGGAAACAGAGAGCCGUGCGACGGCUUUUAAUUCCAGAUUUUGCGCCUGGCGAAGCUACCACCGCACCGCCAGCAAAGAUCAUCCCACCUCCUGCCACCACACUCUGGAUUCAAGUUUCCAAUCGAGGAAUUGCGUCAGUUGCAGCAAAAACUCGGACAAAAAAGCGCCGCCACGUGCGUAAUGCGGCAUUACUAAACGCCGUCAACCGGAUCCCUAACAUCCGUAUUUUGAUGCUGGUACGCUGUCCGGAGGUCGGACACUACCAGCAGUUAACUUAAACCUGUGCUAGGACCUCAACAACAGCCUUGGCGCUAGAAAGCGCAAAACAGCCGUUCCGUCGCUGAGUCGUCAUCGUCGAAUUUGGUACAAGCAGCGGGUCACCAGCAGUCGUCGCCGUUGAUGGUGUGAGUACGCAUCGAAAGCAGUGGGAGAUGGUCAGCGAAUAAGUAGAGUGAGUAAACGCCUAAAUUCCCUGCGCAGGGUGACAAAAGCUCGAGAAUAUUAUAGCGUGUUUACACAGUUUCCCACCCGCACUUGUUAGGGCCCUGAACCGGCAUUAGAAAUGUAGAAUAAGUAAAUUAAGAGUAGGAUGUUAGUUUGUAAAAUAAAUGUUGAAAGUUAGUUUGCGUUUCCUACAAGAUGUUUUAGUGUUUGAAGUGAUAUUUUUUGUAGGUUUGUCGAAUUAAAGGGUCUCAUGUUUCGCGUUCGUUUCUGGUAGUUUUUCGUUUGUACUCUGGGUAGGACUGCUCGGGAAAACAGUCCCCACUCUGGUUUCUGAAGCUGGCUUGUUAUUUGGUAGUUUAUUAGGGAUUCUGCCAGUGAUGAGAACCACGAGUUGGUGUAAAUUUUCGGUAAAUUAGUUGCGAACUCUUUGGUUAUUGGUUGGUAUCGUCCUGCGAGGCGGAGUACCCUUCGGCUUUUGCGUCUGCCGUUUCGUUUUCCCCCAAAUUUUAGUAAACUAACCCGCCCUGGGGUUGGGUGUCUUGUCGGGCAACCUAGAACA